rnacentral:rRNA from 1 species
UACGGAGGGUGCUAGCGUUGUUCGGAAUCACUGGGCGUAAAGGGCACGUAGGCGGCUUUGUAAGUUAGAGGUGAAAGCCCAGAGCUCAACUCUGGAACUGCCUUUAAGACUGCAUCGCUUGAAUCAUGGAGAGGUCAGUGGAAUUCCGAGUGUAGAGGUGAAAUUCGUAGAUAUUCGGAAGAACACCAGUGGCGAAGGCGACUGACUGGACAUGUAUUGACGCUGAGGUGCGAAAGCGUGGGGAGCAAACAGG